UUUCCGUAGGUGAACCUGCGGAAGGAUCAUUACCGAGUUAGGGUCUCUCAGCCCCGACCUCCCCCGCUGUGUUUUUGUGACCUUUUUGCUUUGGCGGGCCCCCCUCAAUGAGAGGCGGCCGGAAGCUCAACGCUUGGGUCUAGUUCCCGUCAGUCGCCCCCGUAAAUUCUUAAUAAACCUUGCCUCUGGGUUAAUGGAUAUAAUGAAAAAAAACUUUCAACAACGGAUCUCUUGGUUCUG
rnacentral:misc_RNA from 1 species